CACGCCUCUCUCUCUCUCUCUCUCACACAGAGGCACACAUAAACAGAGACCCAUGCACUUCACUUCUCUCUAUAAAAUCUCUUUCUUUCUAAUUGGGUUUCUGAGGCAUGGUUGCUGGCCAAAUCUGGAAUAGCCUAUUUCAUGGUUGUCUACCAUUUGAAGGAAAUCUUCUUCUUUGGGCAGAGCCCUUCCCGUCCACCAGCUAUACCAGUCUCUAGCUCAACACACGGUGCUUUGUUUAAGGAGGUUAGUCGGUAAAACCCAUUUGAUCAGUGACAGUAGAAGAGGCUUCAAAUUAGAGACCAGUGGUGAUAUAUUGCUUUGGUGGGAGAACAGAGAAGUCAGAAAAAUUAAUUGACAAUUGAGUAGAAAAAUUAAUUGACAAUUGAGUAAAAAAAUUAAGAAUAACAACGCUGGAAAUACCUCAGCGAAUCUGUAAGAUUUAAUCCCCUUCCUGAUAGAACCCAAGGGAGCUGGAAAGUGAGCACUUUGGAAGAGCAGAGGAAGAUGAGAAGAAUGGAAACGAAGAAGGCAAGCAAUUUGGUGGGAAAAAAGGUGGUUCUGUAAAACAGUGGAACCCUCCAGAUUUAAACAGUGAAGAACCAACAGCUCUCCCAUUUUACCCCUGUAGCUCUCCAACCAGCUAGUUGAAAUCCAACCAGACACCUCUCAACCCUAAACAACAGCUAGUUACAUCCCAAGGAAAGAGAGGGCAAAACGGGAAAAAUACAGAACAAUCAGUCAAGGGCAAAAUGGAAAUUUUACUGUGCAAAAGGAGAGGAAAAGCUGGCUGUACAGUUUUAAAUAGAGGCAUUUUCGUAAUUUUACUGUGCUUAGCUACAGUGUUUAGUUGCAUUGGGUUUUAGUAUAUAUAGAAAAGAAUUUAAGAACCUGUGACAUGUACAGAAAAGCUUCGCAGUCAAGAACUAUAUUUUUCAUA